CAAAACAAAUUAUGUACACAAAGACCAUUACCAAGUCGUCGACCCACACUAAAAACCGGAUAAUGGGGAAAAUUAGACAAAAUUGUCCAAAUAAGCAAAACAGGAAAGUUCUAGAUAAUCCACAAAAAUAUCCUCGUGUCUUCUCUUCUCCAGUCGCCGUUGAUGCCAACGAAGAUGCCAUUGACGCCAAGUUCAUGAGUUUCCGCUUGAAGAAGACAUACAAAGGUUAAGCCCAACAAGGAUCUAAUAUCACUGUCUAAAGAAGAUGAAACCAAAGAUUCAUCAACAUCAUUAUCACAUAAAACACGAAGUGAUGGAAGCCUUUUUGCAAUCCAUAGCAAAAACACAGGACUUUUUGCUAGCCUUGCACAGGAAAGGCAUGCCUGAAUUUAUCACUUGUCUGGAACUCAAUAUCCAGCAACCGUUUGGUGGAUUCUAUGGGAAGAAAGAAAUGCUAGAGUUUUUGUGAAUAAGAAAAAGACGCAUCUUAAGGAUAAGGAAUUGAUGGCGUUGCUUAGUUUUUGGUGCAACAUGGCAAAAGCCAAACUGAAACUUUUUAAGAGGUCGUUUAUGCAUGCAUUAAUUAAUGUGUAUUAUGAAUACCUUGUUUGGUACAAUUUUUAGUCUUGUGUAUAACUACACUCUAGUGUAUUAAGGUGUGUAUUACUAAUACCACCCAUUUUCUAUGUAUUAGUAAUGCAAAAAGGCUUUAAUAUAUGCAUUAGCUUGAUUAAUGACAUUACUACCCC